UUCCCUUAGAAAUACAGUCGACAACCCUGAAUCCCAUAAACAAAACAUAAAUAAAACCAGAAUGCAAUCAUUCUCAAACAAACUGUAUCUACCAACAACUCUUUUACAAAGUGUUCCUGAGUCCAUGUGUUAGUCUCCUUUAUCCAUUCAUGUGUUCACAAAGUGGUGAACCUCGCUCCAUCCUCGCUUGUGAACCACUGAGCCUUUCCAGGAUGCUCCUUUCAUACCCAAUGAUACUAUCACCUGUUGACAAUCAACCUGUUCACCUGUGGAAUGUUCCAGACAGGGGUUUUUGGAGCGCUCCACAACUUUCCCAGUCUUUUGUUGCUGCUGUCUCAACUUGUUUGAAACAUGUUGCUGCAUCAGAUUCAGAUAAUAAUAAGCACGGUGAUCCAUCAUAGUUGAGAUAUUUCAGUCUGGACCCGUGUGGUGGACUGACCAACCAGCAGGUGGAUGUUUCCAUCUGUAGAGCCACCAGCAAGGCUAAAGAUAAUAAGGGAACAAUUUUGCAAAAGACUGCAGAAUUUUCAUAUACACAUAUAUCAUGGCAUCAACCCUAAACUGAAAAGAUGUCUCUGUCUUUGGAGAGUAAAGUCAUUGUGUUUUAUGUAACGUGCAGUUAUUAAAUGACCUGGAGUGGCUCAUCUGUCUCAAAUACAAACAGACAUUCACGCUGGUUUACUGGAAGUUAGAGGCUGAUAGGACAGACCACGCCUCCCUCUUGUUUAUUUCCAAAGGUUCCUGUACACUCAGUCAGACUUUCCUUUAGAAGCACGGUCUAUUUUCUUACUUGAGCUCCAUUCAAAUCUGACAAGUCUGGUUGUAUCAUGGCAUGACCCAUUGUCAGGAUGAUGUGGAUAAAACAUGGCACGCUGUCGGAUCGAAUUGGAGAAACAGUCGAUGCUGGGACUGUACUUGUGGUGGAUGUUGCAUUGGGUAUUCAACCCCCACAAGGUUUCCUGACAACUGUG